rnacentral:tRNA from 1 species
UCCCUGGUGGCUCAGUGGUAAAGAAUCUGCCUGCAAUGCAGGAAGCACAGGAGACUCAGGUUUGAUCCCUGAGUUGGGAA